rnacentral:piRNA from 1 species
UGGGAAACUAACCAAGGAGAGAGG